rnacentral:lncRNA from 1 species
AUCUUACAGACCUUACAACAGUGGUCAGUAAGAAAAGUCAUUCAGAAAAAAAUUGUGAUGGUCAAGGUACAGAGCUGGCCAGCACCAGAAUCAGAACUCCACCUCUUCUGGCUAAGCCCAAUGCUGCUUCCUUUGUACUCAGCUUCCCAUUAAGGAAAGCAAAAGUAUCUGCACCUCUGUGUGUGCAUUAAUUAUAUUUCCCCAAGUCAAAUGUGUGACUAUCCUAACAGAGAAUCCUCCCAUUUGAGUCUGAUGUCCUCAGACAAGUGGGGUGUCCUAAUUGCAGAAGGGUCAGGAUUUUUUUGCUGAAGAUGAUAUUUGAUGUGAUAGUCAGGGUAUGCCUCCCCCAUGCAAUUUAUGGGUGCCUGAAAGAAGGAAGUGGGUAUUCUGUAAAAAAUGCAUAAAAGCUGGGAAGAAGGGCCCUUCUGUAUGACUUGAUAAUAAUGAUAACUAAUAUUUAUGGAGUUCUUAUUAUGUGACAGGUAGUGGUGUGUGUGUGUGUGUGUGUGUGUGUGUGUGUAAUUCCUCAUUUAAUUCUAUCUUCAGCAUGAACCUGUGCAAUGGGUACUAUAAUUAUUUCCAUUUUAUAGGUGAGGACCUGAUGAUACUGAGGCUCAGGGAAGUUAAGUAACUGCCCAAAGACACACAACACUAGAGACGAUAUUUGACUGCAGUCUACUCAACAUAAGGACCAUGAGGAUAAAAAUCUUUAUGAGGAUCCACUUCCACUUCAUGAAUAGAUUGGGAGGCCUGGAAGAAAAAGAUCUGGCUAUGUUAAUAGAGAUUCUUUACAGAUGCACCUGUCCCUCCACCAAGGACAACUUUGCAGGACCAUUUCAAGAUACAGCAAAGAAACAUGUUUUGGGGUAAAAUAUUUUAACUUUCUUCUUUGUCACAUGAUGUUAUGCUAGAGUCAGACUGG